GGUCCCCGUGAACCCCGUGAGGUCCGGAAGGAAGCAGCGGUAAACGGAGUGGCCUGGGUGCCGCAAGGGCGCCUGGCCUGAGUAGGUCCACGGUUCUACGCGUACAUUCGGAACGUCAAAAGAGGGUGCACGA
rnacentral:SRP_RNA from 1 species